rnacentral:lncRNA from 1 species
GGGAGCGGCCUGGCCGCCUCAGAGAAGGGAAGGAACGGAACGGAAAGGAAAAAGGAAAUUGAGGGGAAAGGAAAGGAAAUAGAAGAAAAAGGAAGGGAAAAGUAAGGGAAUGAGGCUCCCCCAGUAGGCCCUGAGGGACUCGGGCCCGGCAGCAGAGCCAAGGACGGGAAUCCUUCAGCUCCCGGGAAAAACGGGAAGGAAUCCUUUCCUUGGAGUGCCAGGACAGGGGGGAUGGAUUGAGGCUGGGGGAGAGCAGCGAUGGGUGGGAUAUCGGGAAGGAAUUCCCAGAGAAGCCAGGGCUGCCCCUGGAUCCCUGGAAUGGCCAGGGUGGAUUGGAAGUGGAUGGGUUUGAGGUCCUUCCCGUGGCAAAUCCCAGGAGUUUGGAAAGAAAACGGGGAGCUCCAGGAGCAGCGGAAUGGGGAUGGAGCCAGGCUGGGAAUGCUGGAGAAGGGAAGGAUAUCCAGGGAAUCCUCAGAGCCUUUUCCUGGAGGAGCUGCAGGAGGGCUGGGAUUGGGAUCAGGGCUGGAAUCCGCGGGAUUUUCACAGGAAUUCGUGGCAUUUUUCCCAGGAAUCUUGAAUUGAUGUGAUUUAUUUUUCACAGGAACUUCUGGGAUUUUUUCUCGGAAUUUUGAAUUGACAGGAUACGUUCUUCCCAGUGGGAAAAGAGAGGCUGGGGUGGAAUUCCCGGGAUAUCUGUGGAUCCUGGAAUGUCCAAGGUCAGCUUGGAGCAGCCUGGGAGAGCGGGAAUGAUCCCAGGCCACGGAAUAAUGGGAUGAGCUUCACGCUCCUUCCCAUCCCAGAGCGUUCCCAGCUCCUUUUCCGGGAUGAAGAUCCAAUCCCAGAGCUUCUCUUCUCCAAGGAUUUGAGGAUUCCCAAAGAGUUGCUAUCAGGGCGGGAUGGAGAUGGAGGCUGAGCCAUGAGCACGGAAAAAUUCUGGGAAUGCGGCCACAAACAGCAGGAAUCGCCUUGGGAAUGGGACGGGAAAAGCUGGAUCCAGCUCCAGGCGUGUCCAGAGGCUCCUGCGCUGAAUCUUUGGGAAUUUUUCAUGGAAUUUCUGCUCCCGGAGCUGCUGAAAACCUUUGGAAAAAGACUUUUCUCCUGGGAAAAAAAAAAACAACAAAAAAUGCUGGGAUUUGAAAGGAAUUCCUGGGAAUCCAGAGCUGGAUUUUUCCUUUGGUUUUUGGGGAUGUUUCUUCCCAAAGAAAAACGUGGAUCGGAAGGUGCAAAAAAAAUUCCCUUUUCCUUUCGUUCCCGAGGGAAUCCAUUCCCAAUUCCAAGGGAAAAUUCUGUGUUUAAAGCUGCUCCUGACGCCGUUUAUAUUCCAAGAGUUUGGGAAUUAAAAAAAAAAACCUCGGGAAUUAAUCUUGGGAAUAAAUUGGGAGAUUUUUUUUUAAUUCCAGGUUGGAAUUUUCCUGCUGUGGUUUUUUAUUCCCAGGAAUUUUUUGGUUUUUUUCCUUGGAAUUUGGGAUUUGUGGGGUUGGGUUUGGAACGGGAAUUUUUGGGGUUUUUUUUCCUUGUUUUUAUCGGGAAUUUUUAAUGGAUUUUGUGGGGUUUUCCCUGUUUUUUCCGGGAAUUUGGAAUUUUUCCCUGUUAAUUUUUAACAGGAAUUUGUGGAGUUUUUUUUUUUUUCUUGUUCCUUGUUAAUUUUUACCAGGAAUUUCCAAUUUCUGGGAUUGGUUUUUACUGGGAAUUCUUCAUGGAAUUUGAGAUUUUUUUCCAGGAAUUUUCCAUUUUCUGGGAUUGUUUUUUUACCAGGAAUUUUUCAUGGAAUUUGUGGCAUUUUCCCUCAUUCAUUUCCCCAGGAAUUUUUUCCCUUCCUUUUCCCAGGAUCCCCUCCCCCUGCAAAUUCCAUGGGAAUUCUGUUAAAAAAUCUGGGAUGGCUCCAAAAUUCCCUAAAAUUCUCUGGGAAAGUUUUCCCAGUUUGUUUUUUUUUUUAAAUUAUUAUUCUCAAACUUAUUUUCUUUUUCCUGGGAAAACUGCUGGGAUAAUUGGAACAUUCCUGCUUUUUCCCACGGAAUAUUCCAAGAUUUUCCCGCUUCGUUGGCCUGGAUUGGUGGGAGAAUUUUGGAUAAAAUCCCCCCAAAAAUUCCAGAUGAGUUAAAAAAUCCAAGGAAUUCUGGGAUAAUCCUUCAGAACUUUGGGAAUGGAAUAAAUUUGAAGCAGAAUCCA